GAGUUUUGAUCCUGGCUCAGGAUGAACGCUAGCUACAGGCUUAACACAUGCAAGUCGAGGGGCAGCAUGUUGGUUGCUUGCAACCAAUGAUGGCGACCGGCGCACGGGUGAGUAACGCGUAUCCAACCUACCCUUGUCCAUCGGAUAACCCGUCGAAAGGCGGCCUAACACGAUAUGCGGUUCUCAGCAGGCAUCUAACGAGAACGAAAUGUGAAGGAGAAGGAUGGGGAUGCGUCUGAUUAGCUUGUUGGCGGGUAACGCCACAAGGCGACGAUCGAGUAGGGGUUCUGAGAGGAAGGUCCCCCANAUUGGAACUGAGACACGGUCCAAACGUCCUACGGGAGCA
rnacentral:rRNA from 1 species